rnacentral:rRNA from 1 species
CCUACGGGAGGCAGCAGUGGGGAAUUUUCCGCAAUGGGCGAAAGCCUGACGGAGCAACGCCGCGUGAGGGAUGAAGGCCUCUGGGCUGUAAACCUCUUUUCUCAAGGAAGAAGAUCUGACGGUACUUGAGGAAUAAGCCACGGCUAAUUCCGUGCCAGCAGCCGCGGUAAUACGGGAGUGGCAAGCGUUAUCCGGAAUUAUUGGGCGUAAAGCGUCCGCAGGCGGCCCUUCAAGUCUGCUGUUAAAACGUGGAGCUUAACUCCAUCAUGGCAGUGGAAACUGUUGGGCUUGAGUGUGGUAGGGGCAGAGGGAAUUCCCGGUGUAGCGGUGAAAUGCGUAGAUAUCGGGAAGAACACCAGUGGCGAAGGCGCUCUGCUGGGCCAUAACUGACGCUCAUGGACGAAAGCCAGGGGAGCGAAAGGGAUUAGAUACCCCUGUAGUCCUGGCCGUAAACGAUGAACACUAGGUGUCGGGGGAAUCGACCCCCUCGGUGUCGUAGCCAACGCGUUAAGUGUUCCGCCUGGGGAGUACGCACGCAAGUGUGAAACUCAAAGGAAUUGACGGA